ensembl:lncRNA
CUCAAGGAACUCCAGCUGUUUGGGGUUGUAUUCUUCACCCCCGGUGUUUUUAGCUUCUCUGCUGGGGUACUGACUUGCUGUCAGGGCAAAGUAUCCAAUCCUGUGGUGAAGCUCUUCCUGCAGAGACGGCUGAGAUCACACCCCAACCCACUCCGGUCUGCUCGGCUGUGAGCUGCCUGCCGAGCUCUCGCUGCUGCUGCCCUCAGCCUGUGCCCGAUCUAAAACUGUCCUGCCCUCGAGCAAAAACAGACCUUUCCUGGUGAAUCUCAAGGAUAUCUUCUCUUGGUAAUUGUUUGUGGGUUUUUUUUUUUUCAGUUAGGCAUUAAUUCAGAGGCUUGUAAUGAGAUGGAUUCUGAGAGAAAAUGCGGAGCUUACACAGCUGUGUGCCUGCUCGCCGCCAUCUUGGCCGGAAGUCGCCCCAGCUUGCCUUAAUGGAUUGUCUUCUUCCUUAGAGUAUAUUUCUUACUUUAUGCUCUCCAGGAGUGAAGGACAAACAACAACAAGAAAAACAAGACACUUUCAAAGCUGACCUCUUGCCUGCAAUAUCAAAGGGAUCAUCUCUGGAAGAAGUUAAAGAAGCAGCCACUGGAUUAGUUAACCAACAGAUUUCCCCUGUACUUCUCUUCCCUAGAAAUACCUGCCACUGUGAACAGGGGUUCCUUGAUAGCUGCAAUCACUGUGGGAUUGGGGAUAGUUUAGCAAUAUACCAAUGCCUGAUAUAUUGGAAGUGCUUAAUAAAUACUUAUUGACACUUUAUUAAGUACUUACUCUAUGUAGCUAGAUAGUGAAAUAGAGCACUUGUACUGGGAGUUAGGAAAGUGAAUUCAAAUCCAACCUGAGGCACUUAUUAACUGUGUGAUCCUGGGCAAGUCAUUUAUUCCUGAGUUGCCUCAGUUUCUCAACUGUAAACAUGCAAAUAUUAUGAGUAUGAUUAUCAUUAUUUCUGUGAAUUGUAGAAUGCUGAGCCAAUAUAAUACUAAAUCUAAAGAUGAGUUAGAACCAGAUUGUGAAGUUCUUUAAAGACCAAAUAGACAUUGAUAUUUUAUUCUGGAAGCAGGAAGGAGACACUGGAAUGUUUUGAAUGAAGGAGUGCCAUAAUCAGAACUAUGCUUUAGAAUAUUAGGUUUUUAGCUGUGUAAAGGACAGAUUGGAGAGAGUAGAAGCUGGAGGAAAGGAGACCAGUUCUGAGGGUGUUGUAAUAGUUCAGGCAAGAAAUAUAAAGAGGAGAAACUAUAUGGUGCAGUUGAUAGAGUACCCACCCUGGAGUCAGGAGGACCUAAGUUCAAACCUGAAUUCAGAUACUUAAUACUUUCUAGCUGUGUUACCCUGGGCAAAUCACUUAGCCCCAGUCUGAGAGAGAGAGAGAGAGAAAGAGAGAGAGAGCCUGAAUUCAUGUCUAAUGAUCAUUUUUAUCAAUAAGUUUUUUGCAUCUCAUUCAUUGCAUUGAACUGAUUUAUUACAAAUUUUAUUUGAUUGUAACUCAGCUUGAACCACAUAAAGUCAAUCUUCAUAGUCAUUUAAGGAGCACGAUUAUCAGCUCACAACUUAAAAAAAAAAAACUCAAGAGAAUAUUGCAUAUGAUGUGAGCUCUUUUCUGGAAAUUUUUUUAUCCAGGGUUCUAUAAUACAGUUUUCCCAAAGAAAAAUCA